rnacentral:lncRNA from 12 species
CUGGGCUGUGCCUCUCCCACGGAGGGGCUCAUGGGGGAAAGUCGGGCACUUGGCAGCUCACCAAAGCCGCAGGGCUCUCAGUGAAUAGCUGCAGUCACCGCCGGAGCGGUGAGCCAUGCACAGCUCAUCCCCGCGGCGCGAUGUGAGCCGGGGGCACCGCGGGGAGGGGGCACAGAGCCCCCGGGACCGGCCUUUGUCCGGGAUGCCGGCGGCACUGACGGGAACGCGGCGGCGCUGGCUGCCCUUUGUGCACGGAACAAAGAACAGCCAGAGGCUUCCUUCGCUGUCACAAGCGGGAAGGAGCCAGAGAGGGAAGCGUCACUCGGCGGAGGUGGGCAGCGGGCCGGUGGUGCUCGGUCCGCUGCCACCGGGCCACAAACGGGCAGCACCAGCUAAUGGCACCUCCCCGGCCACCCUGCAGGUUGUAUUGCUUCAACUCCGGAAGUGUCUGGUCACCUUGAGGAGCUCUGCUCGGAGUCUGCCUUCCUCAGUGAGAGCGGGAGGAAAGCCGAGUAUCAGUGCACUUACUCACUUCCCAUCCUCUCUCCACCCAAACUCGUCUGCUCGAUGCCAGGACAAAGCCCUGCUCACCCAUUUUACUGCCGCCCCAGGGCUGCGGGUGGCCUCCAUCCCUGCACUGGAUUUGGGGCGAGAGGAAGGGCUUCUAGCGUGGUGCGGUCAUGGGCGAAAACCCAGGGUCGGGGUGGUUUUGGGAUGCCACAGCCUUACAGCCACCCUUAUCAGCCUGCAGCCGGGCUGGCACCAAAUGGAUUUGGGGGAUGUAGCCGGAGACCCCCCGCUUUUGACAGUGCCUUGUGAGAUGCGCAGUGGCAGCUCCUCAAGGGGGCUCAGAGUCCCCUCCCAUUUGUCGGGGGACACUUUGGCACCGCUCAGCGGCGCCGCCGCCGUCCCGCAUCGCCACCGGCCGUCCCUGCGCAUGGAUAUUCCCGGCCUGGGACCUUUCCUGCGAUCCUUGUGCCAUCUAGUGGGACCUGCACCAACCACACGGCGGGGUGUCCGAGCGGCAGCGGGCGGCGGGACCGCGGCCAGAGCCGCCCGGCUCACCCGGCAGAGGAGGAUUCCCACACGGGCAACCAAAGAGCGUUGUGGGGCUGCAGUGCCACACGCUGUGCUUGCCCAGCUCCUGCAGCCACCCGUGCAAUAUUUCUAGGUCUCAGUUCAUGACAUAGGGCAACCAUCUGCUUCAGUCUGACCUAUUCCAAAUGGGGGCUCCUUGGGAACAGAUUUAAGGGGCCCUGCUGGCCAAGCUGGAAACCCAGGACUAGAGGAGAAGGGUGCCAGGAGGACAAGGCUGCUUGGACCACAGAAAUGGAUCACCGGCCACAUCUUUAGGCGGUGUACCCUAGACCAAGGAGGCUUGAUUUUCUCAAACCACACAAAUCCCAGGAUGCUGCAAUGCAUCCUCGAGCCUGCUGGUGUCACCAAGACACGUACGUCCAAGCAAACAGUAAAGACACGCUUGGAAAAAACUUCGCCGGCUUUAAAGCCGGGAGCGGGUUAAAGCCGCAGCCACGCACCCGCAGCUCGGGCCAAACCGCCUGCAAAAUCGCUUCACCGGCUGCAAGAGACGGCGCCGGUUCCCCUGGCACAGGACGCUGGGAUAGGGGCGUAGGAGAGCAAAGCAUCCCUCGCCUCCAGCUUUUUGGGGUUGUUUCCAGCAGAAAAAUAUCCGAUCUUGGAA